rnacentral:rRNA from 1 species
GAUUCUGGCUCAGGAUGAACGCUAGCGACAGGCUUAACACAUGCAAGUCGAGGGGCAGCACGGGAGUAGCAAUACAACUGGUGGCGACCGGCGCACGGGUGAGUAACGCGUAUGCAACCUACCUAUCAGAGGGGAAUAACCCGGCGAAAGUCGGACUAAUACCGCAUAAAACAGGGGCACCGCAUGGUGAUAUUUGUUAAAGAGAUUCGCUGAUAGAUGGGCAUGCGUUCCAUUAGGUAGUUGGUGAGGUAACGGCUCACCAAGCCGACGAUGGAUAGGGGAACUGAGAGGUUGGUCCCCCACACUGGUACUGAGACACGGACCAGACUCCUACGGGAGGCAGCAGUGAGGAAUAUUGGUCAAUGGGCGGGAGCCUGAACCAGCCAAGUCGCGUGAAGGAAGAAGGAUCUAUGGUUCGUAAACUUCUUUGCAGGGGAAUAAAGUGCAGGACGUGUCCUGUUUUGUAUGUACCCUGAGAAUAAGGAUCGGCUAACUCCGUGCCAGCCGCGGC